AGAAAGCAGAGAAAGCAACAGCAGAGGGGAGAUCUCAACAAACUUUGGAAGUUGACAGGAAAAUCAGUGGAUGGCCAGAAACCAAAACCUUACACUGCUGGGAAGAUCAGAAGAAAGGAACAGAUUUAAACUACUCAACUCUGGGACAGCUCAGAAAUGAGAGGUACUGAUACUGGUAUUUGGAGUUCUCCUGCGAAAAGGCCAGGGACAUCUAGCACCACCCAGCGAGACCUACUCAUUGACAGGUUCCACCCAGGUAGGCAGAAUUUCCAAUGAGCUUUUAGUGCUUGGAACUUAAAUGUGAAUAAACAAA
rnacentral:lncRNA from 1 species